rnacentral:sRNA from 1 species
UAAAAAAACUUUUUAUCCAAAGACAGCAGGGGCGAGUAGCUUAAUUAUCCUGCCGAGGAAGGUUAUAAAAUAAAACUCUAACUUUCCUCAUGGAAAGUUUUUUUAU